UCAGGACGAACGCUGGCGGCGUGCCUAAUACAUGCAAGUCGAACGGUCUUUCUAUGGAAGCUUGCUUCCACUGAGAAGAUAGUGGCGAACGGGUGAGUAACACGUGGGUAACCUGCCCAUAAGAGGGGGGAGUAACAUCCGGAAACGGGUGCUAAUACCGCAUAGUUUUCUUGAUCGCAUGAUCGGGAAAGGAAAGACGGCCUUUGUGCUGUCGCUUAUGGAUGGACCCGCGGCGUAUUAGUUAGUUGGUGAGGUAACGGCUCACCAAGACGAUGAUACGUAGCCGACCUGAGAGGGUGAUCGGCCACAUUGGGACUGAGACACGGCCCAAACUCCUACGGGAGGCAGCAGUAGGGAAUCUUCCGCAAUGGACGAAAGUCUGACGGAGCAACGCCGCGUGAGUGAAGAAAAGGUUUUCGGAUCGUAAAACUCUGUUGUCAGAGAAGAACAAGUUGGAGAGUAACUGCUCCAGCCUUGACGGUAUCUGACCAGAAAGCCACGGCUAACUACGUGCCAGCAGCCGC
rnacentral:rRNA from 1 species